rnacentral:rRNA from 1 species
UACGAAGGGUGCAAGCGUUACUCGGAAUUACUGGGCGUAAAGCGUGCGUAGGUGGUUUGUUAAGUCUGAUGUGAAAGCCCUGGGCUCAACCUGGGAAUUGCAUUGGAUACUGGCAGGCUGGAGUGCGGUAGAGGGUAGUGGAAUUCCCGGUGUAGCAGUGAAAUGCGUAGAUAUCGGGAGGAACACCAGUGGCGAAGGCGACUACCUGGACCAGCACUGACGCUGAGGCACGAAAGCUAGGGGAGCAAACAGG